UACGUAGGGGGCUAGCGUUGUCCGGAAUCAUUGGGCGUAAAGAGCGUGUAGGCGGCCCGGUAAGUCCGCUGUAAAAGUCAAAGGCUCAACCUUUGAAUGUCAGUGGAUACUGUCGGGCUCGAGUCCGGAAGAGGCGAGUGGAAUUCCUGGUGUAGCGGUGGAAUGCGCAGAUAUCAGGAGGAACACCAAUGGCGAAGGCAGCUCGCUGGGACGGUACUGACGCUAAGGCGCGAAAGCGUGGGGAGCAAACAGG
rnacentral:rRNA from 1 species